UACGUAGGGUGCGAGCGUUGUCCGGAAUUAUUGGGCGUAAAGCGCUCGCAGGUGGUUCAUUGCGUCGUGCGUGAAAGACCCCGGCUCAACUGGGGAGGGUCGUGCGAAACGGGUGAACUAGAGGCCAGUAGGGGGAUGUGGAAUUCCGGGUGUAGUGGUGGAAUGCGUAGAGAUCCGGAGGAACACCAGCGGCGAAGGCGGCAUCCUGGACUGGUCCUGACACUCAGGAGCGAAAGCGUGGGGAGCGAUCCGG
rnacentral:rRNA from 1 species